CGCUCUUUUAUCAGAUUCAAAAUGUUGCCCAUCUCAGGGAUCUCACUGUUUAUUGGCGCCCCGUUCCUUGCAUUCUUUGUGACUCUGCCUCCGAAUCCUGCAAUCGUCGUUCGUCAUCAGAAGUUCUCACUCUUCUUCUGGUAGAAAUGAGUGGAUCUUUUUGACCGUUUGAAAGCUUAUAGCUCAAAAAUCAGAUUUUGGGAGAAUACUUAAGAUCUUACUUCCAGUUUCUCAAACGUUCUCCCACAAGGUAGAUGUUUACCUUGGAUAUGCCAAUUUGGAAUUGUAAAGCUCCUCCAAAGGCCAAAGCCUUUUUUUGACACUAAUAACAUGUUACAGGUUAGAUGCCUUCAUAUAGCUCUCUCUCCCUGCUGAUAUAUAUGUCAUGUAGAUCUGAGUCUGAAACUGUGCCUCAAUUAUUUCUCCACUGCCAAGCUAUGUGAUUUCUUUGGAAUAAACUAUUUUUGGUAUUUUCAGAGAGUACUGGUUUUGUCCUAGUUCAUUUGAUAAGUUUCUAUAGAUUCAUUUUCAGGAGUUUGGGAAGAAGGAAAAUGAAAUCAAGUGGCAAAGAGUGCCAAGGAAAAUGUUCCAACUUUGUAUCUGUUUUCCUUUUAGAAAAUAGUAUGUGUUUGUGUGUGUGUGUGUGUGUGUGUAUAGCUUUUAUUCCAUUGGUGCCCAAACUCCAUGUUCUGCUCAAUAUUGGCCGCAAAAUGCACCGCAACAGCUCUACAAGUUAUUUUUAAUAAUUGAACAAAGUUCGCUAUAGAAUAAAAAGUCCAUAAACUUUUCAUUAUAGAAAAGUAUUC